rnacentral:lncRNA from 1 species
GGAGGAGAGGACACGAAAGGAGAGGAGAGGACAGGAGAGGAGGCACGAGAGGAGUGAAAACAAGAGAAGAGGCGAAGUACUAUGAAGACACCCCUGAUCUUGACAAGAGGCGAAACAUUCAGAGAAAUUCACAAUUCAGGGCAAUCACAUGUACCUACGGGGGAAGGAUGGCCAGCCAGACAGGAGGGUGAUUUUUACUAAGGAGGAAAAGGAGGCCGUGCUGACCGAGAUGCAUGCUGGCCAUUUCAGAGUGAAAUGCAUGAUUGCCAAAAUCAACCUACGCUUCUUCUGACGGAAUUGUCAAGGAGAUGGACAGCUGGGAAAGUCCGUACCCGGUCUAGCCUGCCAGAAGUUUGAGAAGGCGAAGACUAUGGCGCCAGAGUUGAAGCCCAUCAAAGUUGUUUCACCAUGACACAUGAUCAGGGUGGACCUCAUCAGACCCUUCACAAAAUCCAGGAAUGCAACAGCUGGUGUCUGACGGCAACCGAUCUCUUUACCAAGUGGGUGGAGGGAAUACCCAUUAAGGAUGAGACGGGCGAGGCUACCUCCAAGGCGAUGGUAGACAUCUUCAACACCCACGGUUCUCCUGAGCUCAUCUUGAGUGACUAAGAUAUCGCUUUCCUAUCCCCUCCUCCUGGUCUGGUGAAUGGAUCAACCAGACCCUCAAGACUGCCAUGGGCAAGUCCCUUGAUUAAUACCAGGAAGGUUGGGAGAACUACCUGAUGGUAAUUCUCUUUUCACACAACAGCAGCAUCCAGGCCGAGUACGAAUGGGAGCCGCAGCUAUUGACUUAGAUCACUGAAACCCCACCUGAUGUGGUGGAAGUUGUGGAACCAGAUCAGAAUGCCUUCGAGGACCACCUUCAGGCACGGACUGAGAAGGAUGUGGAGGUUUUUGACCAGGUGGGACUGAACAUGGACAAGGUGCAGGAGAAACAGAAGGAGCGCUACCGGAGCAGAAUAAAGAAGGGGACCAAGUGCUUUGACAUCCGGGAGAAUUACUUGGUUUGGAAGAAGGACGAAAGGAAGGCGAGACCUGGGAAACCUCGCUGCUCUUUCGCUCCUAGCUGGGGUCACCAUCUGUUAAAGUUACCUCGGUGCAAGCCAACAAUCUUCUACAGUUGGAGCAGUUGGACAGUCAACCACUGAAAGCCCUGACGCCCUACACUUCAGUGAAGCCCAAUAGACAAAGACUUUAGGACCAUCGACUCUCCGAGCCCCCCAGGAGGUAUCCCAUCCACCAGAACAAAUGAGUUUGGAUCAGUCUGAUUAUCUAUGCUCUGAGUUGGAGGGGGACCAGCUUGAGGUAGGCUAUACCUUCCAAAAGUCUUGAAAAGUACAUAUCUGUCAUGACUUCCGCCGAAGUUGGUCCCUCUCCUUGUUCGGGCGGCGUUCGGCGGUCGAAGUCACCGACCUUCUAGCCAUCGCUGGUCCUCUUUUCAUUUUCCAUUGGUUUUGUCUUGUCUUCCAUCACACCUGGUUCCAAUCCCAUAAAUUACAUGUUGUGUAUUUAACCCUCUGUUCCCCCUCAUGUCCUUGUCGGUGAUUGUUUAUUGUAAGUGCUUGUACACGUCAGUCUUGGCGUGCAUCAGGUUAUGUACCCAUUAUUUGAUUGUUCUGUUUUCCGGUGGGUUUUUUGUUAUUAAACUGCGAUGUUUGGGAAACACAGUUUUUGCUCUCCUCUGUCUGACUUCUCUUCCGCCAGUACGCACUCCUAACAAUAUCUACC